rnacentral:lncRNA from 1 species
AUGCAGAUCUUCGUGAAGACCCUGACCGGCAAGACCAUCACCCUAGAGGUGGAGCCCAGUGACACCAUCGAGAACGUGAAGGCCAAGAUCCAGGAUAAAGAGGGCAUCCCCCCUGACCAGCAGAGGCUGAUCUUUGCCGGCAAGCAGCUGGAAGAUGGCCGCACCCUCUCUGAUUACAACAUCCAGAAGGAGUCAACCCUGCACCUGGUCCUCCGUCUGAGGGGUGGCAUGCAGAUCUUCGUGAAGACCCUGACCGGCAAGACCAUCACCCUGGAGGUGGAGCCCAGUGACACCAUCGAGAACGUGAAGGCCAAGAUCCAGGAUAAAGAGGGCAUCCCCCCUGACCAGCAGAGGCUGAUCUUUGCCGGCAAGCAGCUGGAAGAUGGCCGCACCCUCUCUGAUUACAACAUCCAGAAAGAGUCAACCCUGCACCUGGUCCUCCGUCUGAGGGGUGGCAUGCAGAUCUUCGUGAAGACCCUGACUGGCAAGACCAUCACCCUGGAGGUGGAGCCCAGUGACACCAUCGAGAACGUGAAGGCCAAGAUCCAGGAUAAAGAGGGCAUCCCCCCUGACCAGCAGAGGCUGAUCUUUGCCGGCAAGCAGCUAGAAGAUGGCCGCACUCUCUCUGAUUACAACAUCCAGAAAGAGUCGACCCUGCACCUGGUCCUCCGUCUGAGGGGUGGCUAUUAA